rnacentral:rRNA from 1 species
UACGGGGGGAGCAAGCGUUGUUCGGAUUUACUGGGCGUAAAGGGCGUGCAGGCGGCCAAGUAAGCGUUUUGUGAAAUCCCCCGGCUCAACCGGGGAAUUGCUUGACGAACUGCUUGGCUCGAGGGAGGCAGGGGCAACUGGAACUCUGGGUGGAGCGGUGAAAUGCGUAGAUAUCCAGGGGAACGCCGGUGGAGAAAUCGGGUUGCUGGGCCUUACCUGACGCUGAGGCGCGAAAGCCAGGGGAGCGAUCCGG